UACGUAGGGUGCAAGCGUUGUCCGGAAUUAUUGGGCGUAAAGAGCUUGUAGGCGGUUUGUCGCGUCUGCCGUGAAAAUCCGGGGCUCAACCCCGGACUGCGGUGGGUACGGGCAGGACUAGAGUGUGGUAGGGGAGACUGGAAUUCCUGGUGUAGCGGUGAAAUGCGCAGAUAUCAGGAGGAACACCGAUGGCGAAGGCAGGUCUCUGGGCCACUACUGACGCUGAGAAGCGAAAGCAUGGGGAGCGAACAGG
rnacentral:rRNA from 1 species